rnacentral:rRNA from 1 species
UUUGACCUCAAAUCAGGACUACCCGCUGAC